UACGAAGGGGGCUAGCGUUGCUCGGAUUGACUGGGCGUAAAGGGCGCGUAGGCGGUUUGUACAGUCAGACGUGAAAUUCCUGGGCUCAACCUGGGGGCUGCGUUUGAUACGUGCGAGCUUGAGUUCGGAAGAGGGUCGUGGAAUUCCCAGUGUAGAGGUGAAAUUCGUAGAUAUUGGGAAGAACACCGGUGGCGAAGGCGGCGACCUGGUCCGAUACUGACGCUGAGCGCGAAAGCGUGGGGAGCAAACAGG
rnacentral:rRNA from 1 species